GACAGAGGAUGCAAACGUUGCUCGGAAUUACUGGGCGUAAAGCGCGCGCAGGUGGUCCGGUAAGUCGGGUGUGAAAUCCCGGGGCUCAACCUCGGAAGUGCACACGAUACUGCCGGACUCGAGUACUGGAGAGGAGAGCGGAAUUCCCGGUGUAGAGGUGAAAUUCGUAGAUAUCGGGAGGAACACCAGUGGCGAAGGCGGCUCUCUGGACAGAUACUGACACUGAGGCGCGAAAGCGUGGGAAGCAAACAGG
rnacentral:rRNA from 1 species